GUGCCAGCCGCCGCGGUAAUACCGGCAGCCCGAGUGAUGGCCGCUCUUAUUGGGCCUAAAGCGUCCGUAGCUGGCCGCGCAAGUCCGUCGGGAAAUCCAUCCGCCCAACUGGUGGGCGUCCGGCGGAAACUGCACAGCUUGGGACCGGAAGGCUCGAAGGGUACGUUCGGGGUAGGAGUGAAAUCCCAUAAUCCCGCACGGACCACCGAUGGCGAAAGCACUUCGAGAAAACGGAUCCGACAGUGAGGGACGAAAGCCAGGGUCUCCAACCGGAUUAGAAACCCCGGUAGUCC
rnacentral:rRNA from 1 species